rnacentral:lncRNA from 1 species
GUCAGUUUCAUCAAUAUUAUGGUAAAGUUGAAAAGUGUGAUCAUUAAUUUGUGAUGUCUUUUAUUCCUUUAAAAUUGAGAAGAACAUUCACUUUUACUAAAUUGCUAAAUAAAAGGGAGCAACACAUAAAUUCACGAGGUUUGGUUCCUGCCUUAUACUACCUUGGAGGAUCUGCUACAAGCUUUGUGUUAUUCUUAAUAGGCACCACUGUCUAUUCAAAGUUUGACAAUGAUUUUAGAAAAGGAGUUCAAAAGAAUAUAAUUGGUUCUGAGACUUUUUUUAAUCUUAUAUAUGGACCUAUGAAAGAUUCAAAAAAUGUUUCAAAAUCUGAUGAAAGUCAAAAUCUAAAAGAUGUUUGAUUAAGAAUAUAUAUUACUUACUAAUUAAACAUUUUGUAAAAAUUAUUUUAUAUUAAAUUAUAUUCUUCUUACUCAUUAAAUAAAAGAGAAUUUUUAGAUUUUUUAUUUCAA